rnacentral:lncRNA from 1 species
GUGGUAUUGGUGGUGUACUUAGGAUAACUCAACAGGUUUACAGGUCCGCCGCCGCCAAGUCGCCGACAAGUCGUAGCCGGCGCACCGGACAACGGCAACAAGGUCUAUCCAAAUAAAUCACACCCUCUUCCUCCUCCGUUACAGGGAUUAGGGAUAAGAACUCACCACACGCACACGCUACCUAAUCCGGCCCACGAAGCUUGCUCGGUCCACCCUUGGAGUUCUUUGCCGCCUUCUCGUCAGGUCUGCUGACAUCUUUCCCCCCAAGCUGGUGCCGCUGGAAAUCUUUGCUUGGCAUCAUGUUCAUCUUCCCAGGUUGCCAUGGACGGAGGCCAACCCGACCAGCGCACCAGGAGCUGAGGAAUCACCUUGCCAGCUCGCUGACAGAGACGUCUGUCCACAACGGCAACAGGAUAUCGUAGAUUGUUGUCAGGAUCAGGAAUCUCAGUACUGACCUGUGUAUGCACUCCCAGCGCCGGCUUGAGUUGAGACACAUGAAAGAUGGGAUGAAUGGCACUGGAAC